rnacentral:rRNA from 1 species
CCUACGGGAGGCAGCAGUAGGGAAUCUUUCGCAAUGGGCGAAAGCCUGAUGGAGCAACGCCGCGUGCAGGAUGAAGGCCUUCGGGUUGUAAACUGCUUUUAUCAGCGAGGAAUAUAGUGGUAACUUCUGAAUAAUGAUCGACUACCUACGUGCCAGCAGCCGCGGUCAUACGUAGGAUCCGAGCAUUAUCCGGAGUGACUGGGGGUAAAGAGUUGCGUAGGUGGGAUAAUAAGUAGCUAGUGAAAUCUGGUGGCUCAACCAUUCAGACUAUUAGCUAAACUGUUAAGCUCGAGAACGUUAGGGGUAACUGGAAUUUCUAGUGUAGGAGUGAAAUCCGUAGAUAUUAGAAGGAACACCAAUAGCGUAGGCAGGUUGCUGGGACGGGUCUGACACUAAGGCACGAAAGCGUAGGGAGCAAACGGGAUUAGAUACCCCUGUAGUC